GAUGAACGCUGGCGGCAUGCCUAACACAUGCAAGUCGAUCGGUAAGGCUCUUCGGAGUACACGAGAGGCGGACGGCUGAGUAACGCGUAGGAACACACCCUGCAGAGGGAUAAGACACCGCAAGGUGUUCUAUUACCGCAUACGGUCUUCGGAUUACAGCAUUUAUGCGCUGAAGGAGUGGCCUGCGUCAUAUUAGAUAGUUGGUGAGGUAAUGGCUCACCAAGUCGAUGAUGUGUAGCUGGUCUGAGAGGAUGAUCAGCCAGACUGGAACUGAGACACGGUCCAGACUCCUACGGGAGGCAGCAGUGAGGAAUAUUUCACAAUGAGCGAAAGCUUGAUGGAGCAAUGCCGCGUGCAGGAUGAAGGCCCUCGGGUUGUAAACUGCUUUUAUAAGAGAAGAUUAUGACGGUAACUUAUGAAUAAGGGACGGCUAACUACGUG
rnacentral:rRNA from 1 species